rnacentral:lncRNA from 1 species
UUUCAGUGGAAAGCAGUACAGAGAAAAUACACAUCACCUUUCAAAGGCUGACAGCAUCUGCUUUUUUACUGAGAGAAACCUGUUGCCAUGCAAGAAACUCUACUACCAGAGCCAGCCUGCAGUGAAGAAGCCCAGACCAGCCCUGUGGAGAGGUCACAUAGGGAAGAACUGAGGAGCCAAAGACAGAGAGAAUGGAUCCCCACACAUAUAUUCACCACAGGACCAUUACAGCCAAUCCCCAGUCAUCCAUGCAAUCCCAGGAACUGGAGCUUAUGCUGGGCAGAGAAUGAAGAAAAGCUGAUCCCUGUCUAUGCAAGUGGCAGAAGCAAUUCACAAAGAGAGGUUUGGUGGGAGAGAGGAAGAAGCUGGCAGAGGAGAGGAAGAAGUUCUGUAUUCAAGCCAGAAGGAACCCACUGUCCAGCAUGAAAGAUACCAUCCAGUCUGAAAGAGGAGCCUACUUCAGAUGUGUCUAAAGGUCCCCCUGAUGGUGAGAAUCUUGGAUGUGAAAUAAAACAGGAAAUGGUUUGGCAGGUGCCUGGGCAUAACUCUUGGACAAGGCUCUGAGUAAUGACUUAACAGCAUAUCUGAUAUUUGAAGACUCAUCCUGCUGUGGAAAGAUCAUCUCUUGUGCUUCCCUUAAGUAGGUAAAAUCAGAUUCAUCACCCUUAUAUUCCCUUUCAGAACAUACUAUUCUUUCAAGUUUAGCCAAAAGGAUCACAUUCAAGACAUUCUUCUCAUGACUGGCACUCAGUUAGGAAUGCUGUUAGGCUUUUAUCUUCUCUCACUUAAUGAAGGCUUCAGCAGAUCUAAGUUACAAAUAAGUAUGACCUCAUUGGAUUGGGAGGUUUCUGUUUUCUAAGUGGCUUAAGUGGACUGGAAUCUGAAUCUCUGACCUUCUGGAACAUGACACGAUGGAGUUAGAUGAUCUUUUCAGAGGUGUUUGGCAAGAAACUAGCCCAAGACCCAUGGUUUCCUCCCUUCACUGCCUGGAAACUUGCACAGCCUGCAUGUGUGACCCUCUGGACAGAACUAGUGCAAAGCCACUCCCAAAGCAGAAAAGCAGGCUAUUGGACACCUAAUGCCCAAUUUAUCAUUGAUAAAAUUCCUCCUGCUGUUUGUAAUUCUAUCAUUGCCCAGAUUUCAUAUGACUAAAUUGUGUUAUAACCAUAAAAUGGAAUACUAUGCAACCAUGUGCUGAGGGGAAGAAUAUUUAGCAGCAUGCAAGGAUAUUCCACGUAUUCCCC